rnacentral:siRNA from 1 species
UGUGUUUUCUCGGUGUACGUA